rnacentral:ncRNA from 1 species
UCCACUAUCCGUUAGUAAAAGGGAAUCCGGUGUGAAUCCGGAACUGUACCCGUAGCUGUAAGUUCUGUAACCCCGGCAAAUCUUGUUGCCACUGACUGCAAAGUUGGGAAGGCGGCCGAUCAUGGGAGAACGAGUCAGAAAACCUGCCAUCAUUC